AUUCCUCCAGGAUAACAUUGAUCUUCUGAAGCUUCUCCUUGUUCCCAUGGCCAGCUUUGAGAAAUGACAUACUCGAGCUUUUUCUCUCUUCUUUAAGCAGAUCUCCUUCACCCGCUUCCUGGUGUUCAUGAUGAUAUCUGCUUGAGAUGAAAGGACGCACCUUUGCUCCUUAGACCAGAGGUAGUGCUAAUUUCACUCGGAUUGGAUUCUUCUAAUACAUGGACAUUGGCGUUCGCAAGAAAAGUAUCUGCCGAAACGGACCAGUAUAAAUACAAAGAAGAAAAAAACGCGAGCGUGGUCGAUUUAGACACGGCCCCAUACGAUACGAUAGUCGAUAAAUACUCUACCUGGUCGGUCGAGCACUUCCCGACGAACCAACGACACGAAAGCCGACCGAGCGUGCUGACCUAACCCGACCCACUGCUAGGCGCCUUCGCCUCGAUCCGCCGCCUCCGGCACCCCCUCCACCUCCCACGCGCGUCGCCCCCGUUGAUCGCCGCCGCCGUUCCCUUUGAUUUUGAGGGGCUUUAUAAGGAUUUAGGAUGCCUCGAGUUGGAGACCCAAACGCAUCUUCUAUCUUGAGAAUCACAUAUGAGUUGGGAUACCUUGCUUCCAUCAUCGCAGGAUGUUGGGUCGACGGCAACCUUUUUAUACAUGGCAUUCGUUAUAUGUCAACCUUCACAGACUUGAGUGGAAAAGUCCUAGCUAUAGGGCGGCCUUUGAUGAUAGCCAACUCUGUGAUGUUGCUUCUUGACAGAAUCAACUCACCAUAUGCACGGACUUUAAGCCUCACCAGAUGAAACUUUGUACGUAUCAAAUAUGGUGUGGUCUCCUGAAAUUUCUGUGUCAAAAGUGUAGUUUGUUCCCUUUAAUGAAGUGUGGAUGUGAAGGUGAACCGUGAUGUGAUACUCUGUUUCUUAUCGUUGGCAAAAUGUUUGAAAUUUGUCUAUGAAGUA